GACAGAGGGUGCAAACGUUGUUCGGAAUCACUGGGCGUAAAGCGCACGUAGGCGGAUCUUUAAGUCGGUGGUGAAAUCCUGGAGCUCAACUCCAGAACUGCCUUCGAUACUGAGGAUCUCGAGUCCGGGAGAGGUGAGUGGAACUGCGAGUGUAGAGGUGAAAUGCGCAGAUAUCAAGAGGAACACCUGCGGCGAAGGCGGGUUGCUGGGCCGACACUGACGCUGAGGCGCGAAAGCCAGGGGAGCGAACGGG
rnacentral:rRNA from 1 species